GGCCAAUGGAAAUUUAUACUCUUGGAAGGAAAAAUGCAAUAAUUGCGCAAAGUAAAAUAAUAGCGAAAUUGUUGCAAUUGCAAUAAUUUUUGCAAUUGGAAAUACUCGAUAAUGAAAAUUAAUAAUAUUUUUGGCUAAUGGAAAUUUAUACAAUUGGAAAAAAAAUUCAAUAAUUGUGCAAAUGAAAAUAAUAGCGAAAUUGUUUCACGGUAAAAUGAAACUGGAACAUUCGAGACUUGAUUGCGAUAAACGAAUCUGACAGAUUGCUAACAAGGAAGAUGGAAGUCUCAACAGAGCAUUGAAUUUUUGGCAUAAACAUACGCGCGAUUCUUGGGUGAUUGAAUGAUUCAACUGGAGACAUGAAGCUCAACUACACUUUCCACUCGUGUUCGAAAAACCGUGUCGCAACAAAAAGGAGUCUUCCGCAGUACUUCGUUCCGUUGAACUAUUUUUGAUGAAGCCACAAAUUUUUAAAAUUUGCGAAUAUUAUAAAUCUUAGCUUCGGGAGUGUUUCGUACUUUUCUUAAAACCGCGAACAAUUGUAGGGUGUAUCUUUAUAAAUAUGUUUUUAAAAAAUAAUAUUAAUUUUAUUUGAAUAUCGUCUCGUGAUUCCGGGAGUGCUCGAAAUUUUCUAAAAUCGAAACUAUUAUUUCGUGAGUGUUCAAUCAAAAUUCUAAAAUCGAGUGUGUUUGUGCCAUUUCCAAUGUGGAGGACAUUGAGUACAGCGUCAGAAUGGUGGUCGUGCGUUGGA